rnacentral:tRNA from 1 species
GGUGGUAUGGUGGAAAUGGCAGACACCCGAGACCUAAAAUCUUGUGUCGAAAGACGUGUAAGUUCGAACCUUACUACCACCA